GGCCUGUUGCACAAAAGUAGAAUUAAGACAUCCGGGAUAAAUGACUCAGCUGAGCUCAAUGAAGCCAAAACAUGUGCGUCCAGGCUUAAUUGGUUGCACAAAGACCAAGCCAGGAUGAGCAGACACGGAUUCAUUAAGCCAGGUGAAACCAAUCCUGGAUAGGUGCGCGCUCACGGCUCACUCAAAUAGACCCUGCCACAGAUCACAGAUUAACUGAUUUACCAUGGCAACUAGAGCCGCGUACUUUUCCCCGUCGGAAGCACAAAUCCUCAUGGAGGCAUACGAGGAGGUAAAAUAUAUAAUUAAGAAGAAAGGCAACACCGCCACAGUGAUAAAGCAAAGAGAAAAAGCGUGGCAAAGUAUUGCAGACCGCCUGAAUGCAUUAAACAUGAACGGGCCAAAACGGACAUGGCAGCAGGUCAAAAUCAAAUACAAGAACAUUCUGCAGAAUGCAGUGAAAAAGAAUACCCACAGACAAGGCACGGGUGGUGGGUCACCAAAGGCUGACCUUACCCCAGCAGAGGACAUGGCCUUGGAGCUAAAUAAAGGCAGGCCCGUCUUAGAGGGGAUCCCUGGGGGAAAGAGACGAGCAUAGGUUCCUCCCAAGAUGCCACCCGCUUCAUUCAAGUGCCUGGCAGCACUGUGUUCCUGUUAGAGCCACCAGCACAAGCACCAGACGAUGCUGAUCCAGGUGAAGGCCCCAGUGCAGCAGCAACAGCACAUGAUGGAGACGAUGAUGAGGAGGAGACCAUCUCUCUGGAUUCCAGAAGGCAUGAGGACCCAGAUGCUAUACAGUGGGAAAACCAGCCUGGCAACAUUGCGUAUUAAUAAAAGGACACCACAUCCUGCCAAAUUCCAGCUGCGCUAAUUGUAUUGUGUUCACAGAGCUCACAAGCGAUCAGAAAGUUGUAUGGCAACCACCUCCGGCGCCAAAUAGAACUGGCAGACAUAGACAUUCAGUACAAGAAGAAAAAGAUGGAAAAUCUUGUACUGAGUCCGAAAUAAAAAAGAGGACAAUUAGGAAACUGGACCUUGAAAUAAAAAAACUUGAGAGGGAGGUGAGAUAUGCCUUCAAUGUACACUGUAUGCUAACUGUAACACAAAUGUAUUAAUCAUUAUUUUUCUUUCCUCCCCCAGCUCCAAGAAGAUGACACAGCUCAAAAUAAAAAUUAGGUAUAUUCUCGUAAAGUCAAGUGAGCCAUGACAUAUGAGCUCUUAUUGUGAGCACACAGGACGGUGGCAUCUUUCUAAGGUUUUUUUUAUUUUCCCAGCAAUCAGUACAACCAAGUCAUCGUUAUAAGGCAUCGCCCUCUUUGCC